AUUGAACGCUGGCGGCAUGCCUUACACAUGCAAGUCGAACGGUAACAGGCCUUCGGAUGCUGACGAGUGGCGAACGGGUGAGUAAUACAUCGGAACGUGCCUAGUAGUGUGGGAUAACUACUCGAAAGAGUGGCUAAUACCGCAUGAGAUCUACGGAUGAAAGCAGGGGAUCGCAAGACCUUGCGCUACUAGAGCGGCCGAUGGCAGAUUAGGUAGUUGGUGGGAUAAAAGCUUACCAAGCCGACGAUCUGUAGCUGGUCUGAGAGGACGAUCAGCCACACUGGGACUGAGACACGGCCCAGACUCCUACGGGAGGCAGCAGUGGGGAAUUUUGGACAAUGGGCGCAAGCCUGAUCCGGCAAUGCCGCGUGCAGGAUGAAGGCCUUCGGGUUGUAAACUGCUUUUGUACGGAACGAAAAGCCCUGGGUUAAUACCCUGGGGUCAUGACGGUACCGUAAGAAUAAGCACCGGCUAACUACGUGCCAGCAGCCGCGGUAA
rnacentral:rRNA from 1 species